CUCCAUUUGAUUUCACCGGAAAAAUAGAGAACACAACUUCCCCCCGUAACUCUCUCGACUUCAAAAAUCAUUGCUUUUCAAGCAAAAAUAUCUCUCACAAACACGUUCACCUCUAUAUCAUUUUCUGCCUUCAAUAAGCUUCUCUGGCAUCGCCUCACCUUUCACGGCAGCUCCUACUACACAUGCAUCCCAUACUACAAAUGCAGCUUUGCCACCAUGCUUUUGCAACGCCUACCUGUAACUAUCUCGUCACACACUUAUUCUGCGGCUCCACCACCACCUGGCGGCGGAACAACAAAACCUGGCUCUGAUACCAUGUAGAAAUAAACUAUAAAACUGAUGACUUCAAAUUAAACAAGAUGAAUAUAUAUGUACAAGAGCAAAUGAACUCCAAAGACUACAUUGUAUUUCUCCUGAUAUAUUAAAAGAGAUACAUCACAUAAUAUAUAAAGGCUACCCAACAAAGUGAUAGCAACUAACUAGUGUCCACCUGAAACUAAACUCUACUACUCCAUGAUCCUAAAAACACUCAUUACUAAUCCAAUACUCUCCCACAAUUUCUCUAACUUAUCCUCUACUAAUAAAACAAUUAGUGACUAUAGUAAUUUAUUUAUUUCAAGUUUAGAUUAUUAGAAUAUAAUUCCAACAAUCUCCCCCUUAAUCUAAACUUAGCUUCUAUGCCCGUCUGGCAAGUUCUUCGGUGCCCAUCUGACUUUCUUUAUUGGCCCGUAUGACCUUUUGAACAAUUCCAACAAUCUCCCCCUUAAUCUAAACUUAGCUUCUAUGCCCGUCUGGCAAGUUCUUCGGUGCCCAUCUGACUUUCUUUAUUGGCCCGUAUGACCUUUUGAACUGAGCCCGUAUGGCUAUUUUGUUUUGCCCGUCUGGCUACGUCUUCAUCUGCCCGUAUGGCUUUCAAUUUAGCCCGUAUGGCUUUCAACCCAUUUGGUUUUCAACUUAGCCCGUAUGACCCUUCUUAUUUGCCUAUCUGGCACGUCUUGUUUGCCCAUAUUGCACACUUGUUUGCCCAUCUGGCCUUUUUUUUCUUGCCCAUUUGGCACUUUUUUCUUGCCCAUCUGGCACGUUCACCUCCAUUUGAUUUCACCGGAAAAAUAGAGAACACAACUUCCCCCCAUAACUCUCUCGACUUCAAAAAUCAUUGCUUUUCAAGCAAAAAUAUCUCUCACAAACACGUUCACCUCUAUAUCAUUUUCUGCCUUCAGUAAGCUUCUCUGGCAUCGCCUCACCUUUCACGGCAGCUCCUACUACACAUGCAUCCCAUACUACACAUGCAGCUUUGCCACCAUGCUUUUGUAACGCCUUCCUGUAACUAUCUCGUCACACACUUAUUCUGUGGCUCCACCACCACCUGGCGGCGGAACAACGAAACCUGGGUCUGAUACCAUGUAGAAAUAAACUAUAAAACUGAUGACUUCAAAUUAAACAAGAUGAAUAUAUAUGUAUAAGAGCAAAUGAACUCCAAAGACUACAUUGUAUUUCUCCUGAUAUAUUAAAAGAGAUACAUCACAUAAUAUAUAAAGGCUACCCAACAAAGUGAUAGCAACUAACUAGUGUCCACCUGAAACUAAACUCUACUACUCCAUGAUCCUAAAAACACUCAUUACUAAUCCAAUACUCUCCCACAAUUUCUCUAACUUAUCCUCUACUAAUAAAACAAUUAGUGAUUAUACUAAUUUAUUUAUUUCAAGUUUAGAUUAUUAGAAUAUAAUUCCAACAAUCUCCCCCUUAAUCUAAACUUAGCUUCUAUGCCCGUCUGGCAAGUUCUUCGGUGCCCAUCUGACUUUCUUUAUUGGCCCGUAUGACCUUUUGAACUGAGCCCGUAUGGCUAUUUUGUUUUGCCCGUCUGGCUACGUCUUCAUCUGCCCGUAUGGCUUUCAAUUUAGCCCGUAUGGCUUUCAACCCAUUUGGUUUUCAACUUAGCCCGUAUGACCCUUCUUAUUUGCCUAUCUGGCACGUCUUGUUUGCCCAUAUUGCACACUUGUUUGCCCAUCUGGCCUUUUUUUUCUUGCCCAUCUGGCACUUUUUUCUUGCCCAUCUGGCACGUUCACCUCCAUUUGAUUUCACCGGAAAAAUAGAGAACACAACUUCCCCCCGUAACUCUCUCGACUUAAAAAAUCAUUGCUUUUUAAGCAAAAAUAUCUCUCACAAACACGUUCACCUCUAUAUCAUUUCCUGCCUUCAGUAAGCUUCUCCGGCAUCGCCUCACCUUUCACGGCAGCUCCUACUACACAUGCAUCCCAUACUACACAUGCAGCUUUGCCACCAUGCUUUUGCAACGCCUACCUGUAACUAUCUCGUCACACACUUAUUCUGCGGCUCCACCACCACCUGGCGGCGGAACAACGAAACCUGGCUCUGAUACCAUGUAGAAAUAAACUAUAAAACUGAUGACUUCAAAUUAAACAAGAUGAAUAUAUAUGUACAAGAGCAACUGAACUCCAAAGACUACAUUGUAUUUCUCCUGAUAUAUUAAAAGAGAUACAUCACAUAAUAUAUAAAGGCUACCCAACAAAGUGAUAGCAACUAACUAGUGUCCACCUGAACCUAAACUCUACUACUCCAUGAUCCUAAAAACACUCAUUACUAAUCCAAUACUCUCCCACAAUUUCUCUAACUUAUCCUCUACUAAUAAAACAAUUAGUGAUUAUACUAAUUUAUUUAUUUCAAGUUUAGAUUAUUAGAAUAUAAUUCCAACAAUCUCCCCCUUAAUCUAAACUUAGCUUCUAUGCCCGUCUGGCAAGUUCUUCGGUGCCCAUCUGACUUUCUUUAUUGGCCCGUAUGACCUUUUGAACUGAGCCCGUAUGGCUAUUUUGUUUUGCCCGUCUGGCUACGUCUUCAUCUGCCCGUAUGGCUUUCAAUUUAGCCCGUAUGGCUUUCAACCCAUUUGGUUUUCAACUUAGCCCGUAUGACCCUUCUUAUUUGCCUAUCUGGCACGUCUUGUUUGCCCAUAUUGCACACUUGUUUGCCCAUCUGGCCUUUUUUUUCUUGCCCAUUUGGCACUUUUUUCUUGCCCAUCUGGCACGUUCACCUCCAUUUGAUUUCACCGGAAAAAUAGAGAACACAACUUCCCCCCGUAACUCUCUCGACUUCAAAAAUCAUUGCUUUUCAAGCAAAAAUAUCUCUCACAAACACGUUCACCUCUAUAUCAUUUUCUGCCUUCAGUAAGCUUCUCUGGCAUCGCCUCACCUUUCACGGCAGCUCCUACUACACAUGCAUCCCAUACUACACAUGCAGCUUUGCCACCAUGCUUUUGCAACGCCUACCUGUAACUAUCUCGUCACACACUUAUUCUGCGGCUCCACCACCACCUGGCGGCGGAACAACAAAACCUUGCUCUGAUACCAUGUAGAAAUAAACUAUAAAACUGAUGACUUCAAAUUAAACAAGAUGAAUAUAUAUGUACAAGAGCAACUGAACUCCAAAGACUACAUUGUAUUUCUCCUGAUAUAUUAAAAGAGAUACAUCACAUAAUAUAUACAUAAAGGCUACCCAAAAAAGUGAUAGCAACUAACAAGUGUCCACCUGAAACUAAACUCUACUACUCCAUGAUCCUAAAAACACUCAUUACUAAUCCAAUACUAAUCCAAUACUCUCCCACAAUUUCUCUAACUUAUCCUCUACUAAUAAAACAAUUAGUGAUUAUACUAAUUUAUUUAUUUCAAGUUUAGAUUAUUAGAAUAUAAUUCCAACAAUCUCCCCCUUAAUCUAAACUUAGCUUCUAUGCCCGUCUGGCAAGUUCUUCGGUGCCCAUCUGACUUUCUUUAUUGGCCCGUAUGACCUUUUGAACUGAGCCCGUAUGGCUAUUUUGUUUUGCUCGUCUGGCUACGUCUUCAUCCGUAUGGCUUUCAAUUUAGCCUGUAUGGCUUUCAACCCAUUUGGUUUUCAACAUAGCCCGUAUGACCCUUCUUAUUUGCCUAUCUGGCACGUCUUGUUUGCCCAUAUUACACACUUGUUUGCACAUCUGGCCUUUUUUUUCUUGCCCAUUUGGCACUUUUUUCUUGCACAUCUGGCACGUUCACCUCCGUUUGAUUUCACCGGAAAAAUAGAGAACACAACUUCCCCCGUAACUCUCUCGACUUCAAAAAUCAUUGCUUUUUAAGCAAAAAUAUCUCUCACAAACACGUUCACCUCUAUAUCAUUUUCUGCCUUCAGUAAGCUUCUCCGGCAUCGCCUCACCUUUCACGGCAGCUCCUACUACACAUGCAUCCCAUACUACACAUGCAGCUUUGCCACCAUGCUUUUGCAACGCCUACCUGUAACUAUCUCGUCACACACUUAUUCUGUGGCUCCACCACCAC
rnacentral:lncRNA from 1 species